UUAAUUUGAACAUUCACACGCACUCACACAAAUAAAACCCAGUCCUCUUUCCGUGGCUUCCUCCACCACCGCUUUCGUUGCGUCUACGUACUCCCAUCGUCGCAGAGCUCUCUCCGCCGCCGCUCUCGUCACUAUCGUCGCACGAGCUCUCUCCAUCACCACUUUCGUCGCGUCUGCUCCUUUCGUGAAUUUCAGGUAUACUCUGAUUUUGUGAUUAUGUUACUUAGGGCUCAAUUUUCUCUGCCAAUGCAAUUUUAGAUUUAUCCUACUUUGCUUCGUAAUCCAGCUUUGUAGUAUCUACAUAAACCGUUUCUAUCUUGUUGUUGAUGUUGAUUGAGCUUGUUGUAGUUGUAGCCAUGUUUGUGAUAAAAGAGGUUCAUCUUCACAUGCUGCUAUCAAAUUUAGUCCUGAUUUCUUUCCACAUUUCCUGUGUCUGGAUCGAUGAAAAUAAUCAAAUUGAAUUGUAGCUUCUAAGUUGAAUAAAUAGUGUUUUGAUUGUUAUUGGUAUGUCAAAAGAGAGCGGUCUACAAAGAUACCAAAUUGCAGGAACAAGGAGUGAGACUACAUAUUUGACAAAGAUGAAAUUUUGUACAACUGUAACUUUUCCCUCUGCGACCAAGCCCGACAAGUCAACCAGUAUUGUAAUUUCGUCUUGGUUCUAUUCUAUUCUAUUCUAUUCUGUUCUAUUCUAUUCAUCUUUGCAUUUAUGUGACAAAACUUUCUGAUUAUUAGUGAUGUUGAUUUGGAGCAGCUACAGUGUCAUGCAACUUAUUAUGGUCCCAGAGAAACAUUUGCAUCUAUUCUUCAAGAAAGCAAGAGCUGGAGACAAUCCUAAUGCAGAGGAGAGAUUGGAAGAGUUUGAUAAUGUGGAUAAUGCUCUCAAAGAGUUUACGAGACUCUUUGAAGAGAAUAAUGGUAACCAGUUUGAGCCUUGGGAAAGAGACGAGAAGUUCUGCAAAAAGCCACUCAAGUUCUACCCCAUUGACAUGGUAUGUGCUAAUGGAGAUGGGUUACGACUCGCCAGACCUUCCCAUAGGAAUGGUUGCACAGCUUCACUUGAAAAGAUGUAUGCAAUUUGGCAAUAUUUUUUUUCCUAAUUAUUUCUCUCAAAGUACUUUGAACAAGACUGACAAAAGAGGUACAUCAGGUGAAAAAGCACUGUUGGAGUUCAUAGAGAAAGUUAAGUCGUUAAAAGAGAAUUGAAGGAGGAGAGUGGACCAAAGGCUGAGGUUGUCUGGACAUAUAAAACUAUAUACACCACUGAUUUUUUCUUUUGAUAUAGGAAGGUUAUCCUUGUAUGUCAUCAUUUGAAUACAACAGGAAAAAGGGUUGAGAAUUUGGUGAUUAUAGGUUCAGGGCUUGCAGGGUAAGAAGUUAAGAAGGAACUUACAGAAAGGAUGUUGAAGAGGGCUUUGAUAUAACACUUGCAAAGCAUAAGGGACAGGUGGAAUAAUAAGAUUAGUCUUAGCAUUGGUUACAUUCAAGCAAAUUUCUUUCCUUUUUUAAUCCGUUGAUUAUUAUUUAUGCAUUUCUUUUGCUUUUCUUGUAUGAUUUCCUUUCUACAGUAUGCUCUAAGAAAAUUGUACCAUAAAAGUCCAAGGUUUAUAUGUGUAUUAUAUACAUUACCAACAUGUGGUCCAUGUAGGACACUCAAGCCAAUUCCGAUUUUUGUGACUACUACUAGGGUAAGAAUAGCAAGUUGGCCAAGGCUAGUCGAAUCGAUGUUUCCAAAAUGGCGCCUUCUACUGCUGCGCAGCAACAUGUUCGAGUUCACUGCAAAACAAAGAAUUUUCCAGAGCUAAGUCUUAAAUCCGAAGAUGCAUCUUGUUCAAUUAAUUUAGAAAAUAAUGCACUCAUUAGGCUAGGUGUGAUUUCACGUUACUUUUUAAUUUUUGUUUCAAAUACAGAGUAGUAGCUUAUUUGUUUGGCCAUAUGAGUUGCUCACUUAAAUUGCAUCAUCUCCGUAAAAAGUUUCCAACUUUUCAAAAAAUAUUUGUGCCCAAGUUGAAAUUCUGGCGAAGAGGUGUGUUGUUUUGUUUUCUUAGAUGUUUUCCGAUUUAGUUUAGUGAUAACAUUAGAUCCCCAAGUUAUCCAUGAAUAAAGUAGUAUCCAACACGUUAUAUAGACAACUAGUAUGACUCUUACCGUUGUACUUUUGAUUUUUAUGGACUCUGCUGGAGUUAUUCAGUUUGUAAUGAGUCUAAUGUUAACGCUUUGGCAAUUAUUGGGUGCAAUCUUUCUGAGUUCUUACAAGAGUAUGACAAGGUAAUUACUAGUGGGUCUCCUGGGUACUUCUUCUGUUGUGUUAUGUCUGACUAGGUCCACAAGAGUCAAUUAACGGUAAUAUAUUGUGUGAUGAUAUUUGGAUUACCUGCAAAGAAUUCUGUGCUGUGUAUUGUCAUUUCAUCAAGCAGGUAUACACAUUGUAUAGUAAUAUGUUUUCUUAUGUUAAAAGUUGGGUUGAUGAUAAUGAGAAAGUAUAUUCCGCUGUUACUUUUUCAGGUUUUUGAGAAAUAUAGAUUGGGACUAGACACUUUAUCUCACUGUGUAUUUCAUAGAUUGGUUUCUCUCUGAAAUUAUAUUGAAAGACAGAGACUUCAACUACUUGGGAUCACGUGCAUGUUAAUUGCCUUGAAGUAUGAAGAAAUUAUAGCUGAUAAUAGCUGAGGACUAUGAUGAUGAUGAGGAUGAAGAUGACACUGAAGAUUAUUGCUGAUAUUUUUAGUAUGGUUGAACAAUACACUGAGGAUUAUAGUUGAUGUAUCAAUACAUUUUGUUUAUGUUUUGAACUGACUUGCUUAUUUAUAAUACUUUUCUUCUAGGUUAAUAAUACGAUGAACUUGUUUAUUUCUUGACUA